UACGUAGGGGGCAAGCGUUGUCCGGAUUUAUUGGGCGUAAAGAGCGUGUAGGCGGCUAGGUAGGUCCGUUGUGAAAACUCGAGGCUCAACCUCGAGACGCCGGUGGAAACCAUCUAGCUAGAGUCCGGAAGAGGAGAGUGGAAUUCCUGGUGUAGCGGUGAAAUGCGCAGAUAUCAGGAAGAACACCCGUGGCGAAGGCGGCCAUCUGGACCGCAACUGACGCUGAGGCGCGAAAGCGUGGGGAGCAAACAGG
rnacentral:rRNA from 1 species